UGUAUAAUCCGAAGACGUGAUGUGGAGCGAAAUAAAGUAGCAAAGCGUGUGAGCCAUGUGCCGAGAAAAGCUGCUAUUGUGUAAUGCGUGCCCGUACCGUAAACCGACACAGGUGGAUGAGGAGAGAAUCCUAAGGCCGACGGAAGAAGCAUUGUUAAGGAAUUCGGCAAAAUGACCCCGUAACUUCGGGAGAAGGGGUGCCUGCGAGAGCAGGCCGCAGAGAAUAGGCUCAAGCAACUGUUUAGCAAAAACACAGGUCUAUGCGAAACCGAAAGGUGAAGUAUAUGGGCUGACGCCUGCCCGGUGCUGGAAGGUUAAGAGGAGAGGUUAGCGUAAGCGAAGCUUUGAAUUUAAGCCCCAGUAAACGGCGGCCGUAACAAUAACGGUCCUAAGGUAGCGAAAUUCCUUGUCGGGUAAGUUCCGACCCGCACGAAAGGCGUAAUGAUUUGAGCACUGUCUCGACAAUGCAUCCGGUGAAAUUGAAGUACCAGUGAAGAUGCUGGUUACCCGCGCCAGGACGGAAAGACCCCAUGGAGCUUUACUCCGGUUUGAUACUGGGAUUCGGUACUGCAUGUACAGGAUAGGUGGGAGACGAAGAAGGAUGGACGCCAGUCUGUCCGGAGUCGCUGUUGGGAUACCACCCCUGUAGUACUGGGUUUCUAACCAGUUGCCAUGAACUGGCAAUGGGACAAUGUCAGGCGGGGAGUUUGACUGGGGCGGUCGCCUCCGAAAGGGUAUCGGAGGCGCUCAAAGGUUCCCUCAGAAUGGUUGGAAACCAUUUGAAGAGUGCAAAGGCAGAAGGGAGCUUGACUGCGACACCGACGGGUGGAGCAGGUACGAAAGUAGGACUUAGUGAUCCGGUGGUAUAAAGUGGGAUUGCCAUCGCUCAACGGAUAGAAGCUACCCUGGGAUAACAGGCUUAUCACUCCCAAGAGUUCACAUCGACGGAGUGGUUUGGCACCUCGAUGUCGGCUCAUCGCAUCCUGGGGCUGUAGCAGGUCCCAAGGGUUGGGCUGUUCGCCCAUUAAAGCGGUACGCGAGCUGGGUUCAGAACGUCGUGAGACAGUUCGGUCCCUAUCCGGCGCGGGCGGAGGAUAUUUGAGAGGAGCUGUCCUUAGUACGAGAGGACCGGGAUGGACGGACCACUGGUGUAUCUGUUGUCGACCAACGGCAUGGCAGAGUAGCCAAGUCUGGAAGGGAUAAACGCUGAAGGCAUCUAAGCGUGAAGCCCCCCUCAAGAUGAGAUAUCCCUCCUUCGGGAGUAAGACCCCUUGAAGACUACAAGGUAGAUAGGGCAGAGGUGGAAGCAUGGCAACAUGUGGAGCUGACUGUUACUAAUAGGUCGAGGGCUUAAUU
rnacentral:rRNA from 1 species